GAUCACUGAUGGCUGGUGUUAUGUUUGUCCCAGGGCCUUCAUAAAUAAAUGACUCCAUCCACAAAUGUGGGAAAGACUG